AUUGAACGCUGGCGGCAGGCUUAACACAUGCAAGUCGAACGAGUGGCGGACGGGUGAGUAAUGCUUGGGAAUCUAGCUUAUGGAGGGGGAUAACUACGGGAAACUGUAGCUAAUACCGCGUACCAUCAGAUGAACCCAUAUGGGAUUAGCUUGUAGGUGAGGUAACGGCUCACCUAGGCGACGAUCCCUAGCUGGUCUGAGAGGAUGAUCAGCUACACUGGGACUGCGACACGGACCAGACUCCGACGGGGGGCAGCAGUGGGGAAUAGUGCACAAUGGGCGCAAGCCUGAUGCAGCCAUGCCGCGUGUAUGAAGAAGGCAUUAGGGUUGUAAAGUACUUUCAGCGGGGAGGCGUUACCCGCAGAAGAAGCACCGGCUAACUCCGUGCCAGCCGCCGCGGUAAUUC
rnacentral:rRNA from 1 species